rnacentral:lncRNA from 1 species
AUGUCCUUCCUCUGGCUGUGGAAUGUCCAGCAGCAGAGCGUGAGUGGCCAUGAAAUGAAGCUGGGCCUCAGGAGAGCCGUCUGGAGCUGCGUCACGAGCUUCGUGCCCUACAGUAAGCGUGAACUGAAGCAGUGUUGGUUAAGCACGGCUCACUCCUCUGUCUGCAACAGAUGGGCUUUCUGCACGUUUUAUUGCUGUGGCUGACGCUGAACAGCACAGCAGCAGCGAGGCCUCAAGCAUGUCCACAACCAGGUACGUGAACGUGAGUAACUUUAGCUGUGUGAAUGAUGUUAUUGUUCAUAUUAGUAAGGCAGUAGUCAUGCAUGUGUGAUGGAGCUCAGGGAUAGGUUUAUUCUUGUUUGUUAAGCUCUUCCCUUAUUUGACGUCCACCCGUCCUCUCUUGCUUCUCUUCCCCCCACCUGCAAGUGCAGCAGUACUGAAGGCUGAGGGCUCUUUUCCUAGGCAGGUGCUAAAGGGCAACUGAAAUGCAAGUUUGAUGUCUCUCUUUGUUCUCGGGUCGGUAGCCCAAGGUGACCAAGCUUCAGAGUACUUCUCUAAGUCAGCCUGGAAAUGUUUCAAGCAGGAAGUAACACCAUCACAGUGUCUGAGAGUGAUGAUGCCUCUUUUUCCCCCCUCACAGCAGGCAGCCUACUUGAGAGCAGUAAAGCAGUAGGCUGUCUGCGCUAUGGCUGCUGAACUGCAUUUCUCACCACCUGAGAUCCCUGAGCCCACGAUAUUGGAGAACAUGCUGCGCUACGGACUCUUGUUUGGAGCCCUUUUCCAGCUCCUGUGUGUGCUGGCCAUCAUCCUGCCAGCUUUCAAGUCCCCAAAGGCAGUAAGUGGUGCUCUCACGGGCUGAGAGAAAGGCACGGGCAACCGGCUGGGAGGGAACCAUCUGUAGCUGUUGCCUACGGCAGUGUGUCCCAGCACUGCUGAGAGUGCCGCAGUUGGCUCUGUCCUUCCUU